rnacentral:lncRNA from 1 species
GUAUUUAUAUUAACUUAAGGUGGUACCCAACACUUUCACUAAAAUUAAUUUGGCUCGUUUAAUUUUCAUAAAAUUUUGUCAAAGUAUUUACUUUGACACUUUAACAAAAAUAUAAAUAUUUAAAAAAAUUUGAACCAACCGUUUUGUCAGAAAAAUUACACUGGUUAUAUAGCAAUUUGAUAAACACCAAUUUUGAUCAUUGAGAAGCUUAAUAUUGCUUUUACAACACAACGUAAUUAAAACGUUUAGCUGACUUUACAGAGUUAUCUCCCUGUAGUGUUAGGUACCACCUUAAUUUAUAUUAUACUGCUUUCAGUAUUAGUUAUAUAUAUAUGUUACACUUGAUUUGCCAUUGU